UACAGAGGUGGCAAGCGUUGUUCGGAAUUACUGGGCGUAAAGGGCGCGUAGGCGGCUUUUUAAGUCAGACGUGAAAUCCCCCGGCUUAACCUGGGAACUGCGUCUGAUACUGGGAAGCUUGAGUUCGGGAGAGGGAUGUAGAAUUCCAGGUGUAGCGGUGAAAUGCGUAGAGAUCAGGAAGAACAUCGGUGGCGAAGGCGCUCUGCUGGACCAUAACUGACACUCAGGGACGAAAGCUAGGGGAGCGAAUGGG
rnacentral:rRNA from 1 species